rnacentral:lncRNA from 1 species
GAGUAGCCCUCCCUCCCUCCCUCUGAUUAGAGACCCCAGACCAGGAUGUGAGCUCCAGAGACUUGAAGGAGACUGAGGUGAGGUACAGUAAUAAGGAGAUGCCCUCCCUCCCUCCCUCUGAUUAGAGACCCCAGACCAGGAUGUGAGCUCCAGAGACUUGAAGGAGACUGAGGUGAGGUACAGUAAUAAGGAGUAGCCCUCCCUCCCUCUGAUUAGAGACCCCAGACCAGGAUGUGAGCUCCAGAGACUUGAAGGAGACUGAGGUGAGGUACAGUAAUAAGGAGAUGCCCUCCCUCCCUCUGAUUAGAGACCCCAGACCAGGAUGUGAGCUCCAGAGACUUGAAGGAGACUGAGGUGAGGUACAGUAAUAAGGAGAUGCCCUCCCUCCCUCUGAUUAGAGACCCCAGACCAGGAUGUGAGCUCCAGAGACUUGAAGGAGACUGAGGUGAGGUACAGUAAUAAGGAGAUGCCCUCCCUCCCUCUGAUUAGAGACCCCAGACCAGGAUGUGAGCUCCAGAGACUUGAAGGAGACUGAGGUGAGGUACAGUAAUAAGGAGUAGCCCACCCACC